UAGUAUAGUUUUUUUUUUUUGGUCAGAUUGAACGCUGGCGGCAGGCCUAACACAUGCAAGUCGGGCGGUAACAGGAAGCAGCUUGCUGCUUUGCUGACGAGCGGCGGACGGGUGAGUAAUGUCUGGGGAUCUGCCCGAUGGAGGGGGAUAACCACUGGAAACGGUGGCUAAUACCGCAUAACCUCUGAGGAGCAAAGUGGGGGACCUUCGGGCCUCACGCCAUCGGAUGAACCCAGAUGGGAUUAGCUAGUAGGUGGGGUAACGGCUCACCUAGGCGACGAUCCUUAGCUGGUCUGAGAGGAUGACCAGCCAACCACUUGGACUGAGACACGGGCCCAGACUCCUACGGGAGGCAGCAGUGGGGAAUAUUGCACAAUGGGCGCAAGCCUGAUGCAGCCAUGCCGCGUGUAUGAAGAAGGCUUUCGGGUUGUAAAGUACUUUCAGCGGGGAGGAAGGCGUGAAGUCGAAUACACUUCACGAUUGACGUUACCCGCAGAAGAAGCACCGGCUAACUCCGUGCCAGCAGCCGCGGUAAUACGGAGGGUGCAAGCGUUAAUCGGAAUUACUGGGCGUAAAGCGCACGCAGGCGGUCAAUUUAAGUUAGAUGUGAAAUCCCCGGGCUUAACCUGGGAACUGCAUCUAAGACUGGUUGACUAGAGUCUCGUAGAGGGGGGGUAGAAUUCCACGUGGUAGCGGUGAAAUGCGUAGAAGAUGUGGAGGAAUACCCGGUGGCGAAGGCGGCCCCCUGGACGAGAGACUGACGCUCCAGGUGCGAAAGCGUGGGGAGCAAACAGGAUUUAGAAUACCCUGGUAGUCCACGCCGUUAAAACGAUGUCGACUUGGAGGGUUGUGGCCUUGAGCCGUGGCUUCCGGAGCUAACGCGUUAAAGUCGACCGCCUGGGGGAGUACGGUCGCAAGAUUAAAACUCAAAUGAAUUGACGGGGGCCCGCACAAGCGGUGGAGCAUGUGGUUUAAUUCGAUGCAACGCGAAGAACCUUACCUACUCUUGACAUCCAGCGAAUCCUUCAGAGAUGAGGGAGUGCCUUCGGGAACGCUGAGACAGGUGCUGGCAUGGCUGUCGUCAGCUCGUGUUGUGAAAUGUUGGGGGUUAAGUCCCGCAACGAGCGCAACCCUUAUCCUUUGUUGCCAGCACAUUCAUGGUGGGAACUCAAGGGAGACUGCCGGUGAUAAACCGGAGGAAAGGGGUGGGGAAGUAAACGUCAAGGCUCAUCAUGGCCCUUAACCGAGUAGGGGCUACACACGUGCUACAAAUGGCAGAUACAAAGAGAAGCGACCUCGCGAGAGCUAAGCGGAACUCAUAAAGUCUGUCGUAAGUCCCGGAUUGGAGUCUGCAACUCGACUCCAUGAAGUCGGAAUCGCUAGUAAUCGUAGAUCAGAAUGCUACAGUGAAUACGUUCCCGGGCCUUGUACACACCGCCCGUCACACCAUGGGAGUGGGUUGCAAAAGAAGUAGGUAGCUUAACCUUCGGGAGGGCGCUUACCACUUUGUGAUUCAUGACUGGGGUGAAGUCGUAAAGGCAAAACCGUAA
rnacentral:rRNA from 1 species